GACGUAGGGGGCCAGCGUUGCUCGGAAUUACUGGGCGUAAAGGGUUCGUAGGCGGUGUGGCACGUCGGGAGUGAAAUCUCUGGGCUUAACUCAGAGGCUGCUUCCGAAACUGCCGUGCUAGAGUGCGGGAGAGGCGAGUGGAAUUGCAGGUGUAGCGGUGAAAUGCGUAGAUAUCUGCAGGAACACCCGUGGCGAAGGCGGCUCGCUGGACCGCAACUGACGCUGAGGAACGAAAGCUAGGGGAGCAAACAGG
rnacentral:rRNA from 1 species